AACGAACGCUGGCGGCAUGCCUAACACAUGCAAGUCGAACGAGACCUUCGGGUCUAGUGGCGCACGGGUGCGUAACGCGUGGGAACCUGCCCUUAGGUUCGGAAUAACUCCCCGAAAGGGGUGCUAAUACCGGAUAAUGUCUUCGGACCAAAGAUUUAUCGCCUUUGGAUAGGCCCGCGUUGGAUUAGCUAGUUGGUAGGGUAAAAGCCUACCAAGGCGACGAUCCAUAGCUGGUCUGAGAGGAUGAUCAGCCACACUGGGACUGAGACACGGCCCAGACUCCUACGGGAGGCAGCAGUGGGGAAUAUUGGACAAUGGACGAAAGCCUGAUCCAGCAAUGCCGCGUGAGUGAUGAAGGCCUUAGGGUUGUAAAGCUCUUUUACCCGGGAUGAUAAUGACAGUACCGGGAGAAUAAGCUCCGGCUAACUCCGUG
rnacentral:rRNA from 1 species